CCUACGGGGUGCACCAGUGGGGAAUAUUGGACAAUGGGCGAAAGCCUGAUCCAGCAAUGCCGCGUGAGUGAAGAAGGCCUUAGGGUUGUAAAGCUCUUUCACCGGUGAAGAUAAUGACGGUAACCGGAGAAGAAGCCCCGGCUAACUUCGUGCCAGCAGCCGCGGUAAUACGAAGGGGGCUAGCGUUGUUCGGAAUUACUGGGCGUAAAGCGCGCGUAGGCGGAUAGAUAAGUCAGAGGUGAAAUCCCGGGGCUCAACCCCGGAAUUGCCUUUGAUACUGUUUAUCUUGAGUGCAGAAGAGGUAAGUGGAAUCCCGAGUGUAGAGGUGAAACUCGUAGAUAUUCGGAGGAACACCAGUGGCGAAGGCGGCUUACUGGUCUGCAACUGACGCUGAGGCGCGAAAGCGUGGGGAGCAAACAGGAUUAGAUACCCUAGUAGUC
rnacentral:rRNA from 1 species